ensembl:snoRNA small nucleolar RNA SNORA48
ACCCCCUGGCAAUGGGCAGAGAGACACCUUGUUGGUGGUGGUGUUCUUAUAUCAGUCAGGGGCAGAGCAGAUAGUAGCCCAUUGAUCAUCCUACCUAGAUGCCUGGCUUGGUGGCCAAAGCUGUUUCAUGCCUAGGGCACAUUA